rnacentral:tRNA from 1 species
UUAAUUGAAGCCAAAACAGAGGCUUUUCAUUGUUAAUGAAAUCAUUGAUUUAUAAAUCCAAUUAAA